rnacentral:lncRNA from 1 species
UAUCAUCCAAAUGUAGUGUAUAAUAAGAAAGCUUUGACAAUGGCUCAAUUCAACUGCCACCAUAUCAUAUUUCAUAUCCCUUGCUUUCAUAUGGGGUUGCACAGUUCAGUAGUCUUUAGGCUUUAUAUAUGCCAUAAAGUUUCAACUCUCUUCUUUUUUAUGCUUUCAUAUCCCUUGUUUUCAUAUGGGGUUGCACAGUUCAGUAGUCUUUAGGCUUUAUAUAUGCCAUAAAGUUUCAGCUCUCUUCCUUUUUAUGCUCUCCACUUAACAAUGUCUAUAGGUCUCUUACUGUUUCAAUUUCUUUCUUUGCAAGUAAAGGAAAUCCGAUCCAGUAAAAAAGCUUCUCUCGAAUGGUAUGCCAUCACCGUUCCAAAAAUUUAAAGCAUUUAACCUCAGUUUGACUGCAUUGGAGGUGCAAGUUUCGGACACGGAAAAGGAAGAAAAUCACACACUGGUUUAUCUUUUUGUUUCACCCGAGGUACAUCCCAUGUGAGGCAAAAAACUGAAGAUUUGGGUGGCCUAGAGACAUUGUAUUUAGGGAGCCUGAUUCGAGAGCUGGCAGCUGGGGUUCAGUAUGUAUUUAGGUGCAAGCUCAGUCAUAAAUCCUGAACUCUGGAGCAUGGUUGAUGGUCUGUAAUAAAUGUGGGAUCGUGGUUAAUGACAAUUGAUCUGACUGACAGUCUUCACGUGAAAUUGAAGACUGAACCUAGGAGAAAAAUAAAAGGGAUAUUUACUCAUCAGUUCCUAGAUACUAUUUUUUUUAAAUUAAUUCAUUUAAGUUUUUAUUUGUAUUCCAGUAAUUGCAACUAUUGUUUGUGGUGUUUUGUAUUUAAGUUUGAUUACCAAAUUAAACUUCUUAAGAAAUUGUAUUUUAAAAUAAGAUCAUGAUGAAAUGAAGUUAAUUAAUUUUUUAAAGACAAAAUUUCAGAUGUUUUGGGGGUGUCGACUAUCAAAAUUGAAUAAAAUGUAAAGUAAAAAUAGGAGAAGAGAUGUUGGUUUGAUGACAUCCGUAGAACAUUAAACAAUGUAAUUGGAAUACACUGGUUUUAAACAUUAAAAAAUAAAUCUAAAUAGGCUUAAAAACAAUGUUAUAUAAAUUUGUCCUUUUAAGGUUAAUUUUCUUCUUUUCAGAUGAAUAAAAGUCAGUAAUAAUCUCAAUCUUCUCGCGCAUUCAUGAUCAAGGCUCCAUCAUAUACUUCUUGUAAAAUUGGAAAUCAACUAUUUUAUCCCCAUCUCCAUUAUGGAUGUUUUUCACUAUUAAUCUAUCUAAAGAAAAAGAUAUAAAUUAAAAUUAAAAAAAAAACCUAAAAUCUUUUUUAGGAAUCCGCCACUGCCAACACUUUAAAUUCACCUCUGAAUAAAAUGAAUUAUUAAUAUUAAAUUAUAUGACACCAAUGAUGUGGUGAUAGAAAAUUUUAUUUAAAAUCAAGCAUCAAAGGUUAAAAUUGAAUUCAAAUAAUCUAUUUUUUUACUCCAAUAAUUAAAAUAAUUAAAUUAAAUAUCAAAAUAGAUCACCUUACAAAUUAAUUACCGAAAUGGAUCGUUAAUAAAAUUUUUCAAUACCGCUUGACUAAAAUAUAAUUAGUGAUUAUUUUUAUUAUGUUACAUAAUAGUUAUUUUAGUUUUAAGUAGUAAAAUGUGUGAUUUUAAAUUAGGUUGUUGUGGGUUCAAUUUUCACAUAUAACACUUUAUUUUUUAUUUUUGCUUCAAAAGGUAAAUUCUACUUUAUUAUUAUUUGACAAAAUAUUAUUAUUUGUGGAAAUCAAACCCUCGACCAUAAUUUUAUUGUAGCAUAAUACUUUACUAUAACAACUGUUUUAUAAUAUGAUAAAUAAAAUAAUUAAUUAUAUUGUAAUAUGGUGCCGUCAAUAUGUCAGGCGGCACCAAUAUUUUUUUUUUAAAAUCCAUGUGGUAUCGUCAACUAGUCAAACAGUAUUAAAAAAUAUUAUAGCAAAAUUUGUAGGGUGUGACCCAUUUUGAUAUUUAAUUUUUUUUAAAAAUAUUAUUAAAGUGCCACAAUUUUUAUUUACUAAAUAAAAAAGAAAGAAAGUAUAGCCACCUCCAAUUUUUUAUUUAAGUGUGAUGGCACCUUUAUUUUUUUUAAAACAAAAUUUAAAAUCAAUUAAAAUGUAUAACCAACAUUGACAAACACACAUGAUAAAUACACUAAAUAAUAAUCUAAUAAUUAUUUUAAAAAGUAAUACUUAUGCCUAUUGUUUCUAAAAAAUUAAGAAAAAAUAUAAAUAUUUUUAUUUUAAAGAUAUGUUCACUAAAAUUACUUAAAUAGUAAAAAUAUUAUAUUCUGAAAUUUUUGUUUGUUUUCUUUUUCAAAAUUCUGAGCACUUUAAUGACAUGAAAAUGACUCCCACUUCAAUCUUUCAUUUUUGGUAACAGAAAAGACUGCGGGCAGCGUUUGGUAAGGGCCAAAACUUAAAAGUAGUAUAAAAGAAAUUCACUAUUUUAAAAAAAAUGGUCUGUGAGAGAGCUGACAUAUUUGGGAGGGUUAAAAUAUGUUAUAAACCCUUUUCCCUAUAUUAGAAUCGAGUCCAACGAACGUUGGUUACCUCUUGAGCCAACUAAUAACUUCGCCAAAAACAAAUCAGACCUACCAUAAAAACAAUUGCCUAAUCAUAGAUUAGCACAAAGAAUGUCAUACUUGUGCCUUCACACAUACAUGCAUGCGUUAUGAUGUCUACGUCCAAGGCUAUUACAAGCUAAUCUUUUAGGUUGAUGCCUAAACCAUGAAACAUACAUGCAUGUGCUUUGUUUUGCUGUUGGAUGAACCAACAGCAUAUUUACGGUAGACCCAUAACCCACUUUCAUGUUCUAAAUGCAAACAAACAAAUGCAUUUAAAGCUACCAUCCAAAACAAUUCUUAUAUUAUCAUAUCAAGGGGUGUAGCCCAAGUUUAGCCAUGGCGUACAUCAACCACAUCAUAAUUCAAAGGAACCUAUAAAUAUAUCCCUAUUUCCUGGUAUCAUCCAAAUGUAAAUAGUGUAUAAUAAGAAAGCUUUGACAAUGGCUCAAUUCAAUUGCCACCAUAUCAUAUUUCAUAUCCUUUGCUUUCAUAUGGGGUUGCACAGUUCAGUCUUUAGGCUUUAUCUAUGCCAUAAAGUUUCAACUCUCUUCUUUUUUAUGCUCUCCACUUAACAAUGUCUAUAGGUCUCUUAACUGUUUCAAUUUCUUUCUUUGCAAGUAAAGGAAAUCCGAUCCAGUAAAAAAGCUUCUCUCGAAUGGUAUGCCAUCACCGUACCAAAAAUUUAAAGCAUUUAACCUCAGUUUGACUGCAUUGGAGGUGCAAGUUUCAGACACGGAAAAGGAAGAAAAUCACACACUGGUUUAUCUUUUUGUUUCACCCGAGGUACAUCCCAUGUGAGGCAAAAAACUGAAAAUCUGGGUGGUAUACCUGAAGCAGUUUUAGCCAGUUUUCCGUGGCUUGCAUAAGGGAAUUUGCAUGUUGACGCUCGCUCACACCAUUCUGUGUCCAUAUGGAUCCUUCCAUCUUGUAACACCCCAUUCCAAAAACAGGUAACGAAAUCUUUGGGAUGCCAUUAGCAUC